ACUAGUGAUUUCCGUAGGUGAACCUGCGGAUGGAUCAUUAACACAAUGAUACAAACCUAAAUUUUGUACUUAGGCUGAGCAAUGUAUUUUGUGAAGCCAUUUUACAAUACUAUUUUAAUAAAUAGUGUUUAUUAAGCCAUAAUAUUUCAUUAGAAAAUUUUCAACGAUGGAUAUCUUGGCUCCCAUAACGAUGAAGAACGCAGCUAAAUGCGAUACGCAAUGCGAAUUGCAGAAUUCCACGAGCAUCAGAUCUUUGAACGCAAUUGGCACUGAAAGAAAUUUCAGUAUGUCUGUUUCAGUGUGUUCAGAAAUCCAUCAUCUCAAUGCGAUUGAAUUAAAUGAUUCUCUCGUUAAAUACGAAGGCGCUGAAUUCAGCAGGCCAAUGAAGUAGUCACUUAACUUUAAGUGAUCUCGUUGAGUCUAAUGAGUUCAUUAAAGUGCUUUUAAAAUAUUUUUUCUACGACACCUGAAAUCAGGCAAGAUCACCCGCUGAACUUAAGCAUAUC
rnacentral:rRNA from 1 species